rnacentral:lncRNA from 10 species
AGAAUUUAGGGCUGGAAGUCUGCCUUUGGCUUCAUCCAGAUGAAAGUUACAUUUAAUCUUGGAUGUCCUUUUUAAUCCUACAACUCUUCCUGUUGUUUCCAGGUGCCUCUUCACCCCUUGAGUAGAACAGGAACACAGAAUAGGCUCACUGUGUUUCAUCCUCCUACUGCCAGAUCAGCAACUGAUAAGCACUGGGUGACGAGAGAACAGGUUUACUCACCUACCAGGGAAUGCCCAAGACCAGGCACAUGCUGGAUUCCUCUUAGAAGUGGAUUGUGAUCCCUUGGUUCCUGGAGUGUUGGACUGAGAAUGAUAAUGCAGCUGGGUCUGGGAUCAUCAGAGUGUCAUGACAGAUUAGAAUUGUCUGCCGGGAGCACAGCAGGGAAAGAUGAUGGUAAGAAUACUAAAUACCUGUGAACAGGAAGGGGUAAUAAGUGUCCUUCCAAGACAAAAGCAGACUGUCUGGUCUUAGAGACAGACCUGCCUGGUGACAAUUUCAACAGGGGGUAGCAAGUAUUAGUACAAGCUGCUAUGAGAAGGUAAAGAAAAGCAUCUAAAUCAGAUGAGGGAGGCCAUCUCUCAGAGAGGGUGGCACCAAACAGUCUUGAAAUACCAGCAGAGGUCAGCCCAGCAAAUGAGAGCGAGAAGAUGGGAUGACGAACAGGAGCGACUCUCCCGGCUGUACAGGAAUGGGGGCAGGGAGCCUUCCCCUCCAGGAAAGCAUGAUGUCCCAGCCUCCAGCUGGGGACGAUGAGGUCCAGAGAAGGGAAAUGACACACAGAGCUGAGACCAUGUCCAGGACAGCACUCACGGCAGCUGCUGCCCCCCAUCUGAAGGACAGAUGAGCUCCACGUUCAUCAGGAUGCCAUCCAACCGCGGAAUCUUCCAGCAACAAACACAGCCCUCUAGGGACCCCUGACACACAGAAAUCCCAUUGCAUGCCUCCCAUCUUGCUCAGAGUAAGGCUCAAAGCCCUCCCAUGGUUUAUAAGGCCCUGCACAAGAUACCCCUGCCUCUCUCUCCCCCUUGCCCCCUGUAACCAUCAUCCAGCCCCAGGGCCUUUGCACUUGCUGCUCCCUGUGCCUGAAGACUUUUUCCCCAAAUGUCUGGAGACUCACUCCUUCCCCUCCUCCAGAGAUUUUCUCACAUAGCACCGCCUCCAUGCAGCCUUACCGACUGCCCCUCCCCAGCACUCCCUAACACUCCCAUCCUCUCCCCACGGCACUCCUCACCAUCUGGCCACCUUCUAUUUCACUUCUUUAUUCUUUUGCCUGUCUGCUCUGACUAAAAUGCAAGCUAUACAAGGUGGGAUUUUUGUCUGUUUUAUCCAUUGCUGUAUACUCAGAACCUAGAACAAUGCUUCACACAUAGUAG